rnacentral:rRNA from 1 species
CCAUACGCUCGUCUCAAAGAUUAAGCCAUGCAUGUGUAAGUAUAAAUAGUUAACUUUGAAACUGCGAAUGGCUCAUUAUAUCAGUUAUAGUUUAUUUGAUGAAGAAUACUAAUUGGAUAACCGUAGUAAUUCUAGAGCUAAUACAUGUAUAAAGUCUUGUAGACUGCAUUUAUUAGAAUGCAAACCAUAGGUUUCGGCCUAUUCGUGAGUAAUAAUAACUAAUCAUAUCGUAUGCUUAUGUAACGAUGUGUCUUUCAAGUUUCUGCCCUAUCAGCUUUCGAUGGUAGUGUAUUGGACUACCAUGGCAGUAACGGGUAACGAAGAAUUUGGGUUCGAUUUCGGAGAGGGAGCCUGAGAGAUGGCUACCACAUCCAAGGAAGGCAGCAGGCGCGUAAAUUACCCAAUCCUGACAUAGGGAGGUAGUGACAAUAAAUCACAAUGCGGAACAGUGUUUUGCAAUUGGAUUGAGAACAACGUACAAACCUUAUCGAUAAACAAUUGGAGGGCAAGUCUGGUGCCAGCUGC